rfam:Acidimicrobiia bacterium BACL6 MAG-120910-bin40 contig02077_1_120910-bin40, whole genome shotgun sequence.
GGGGCUGACAGGUUUCGACGUCAGUGUCGCUGGGCGAUCGUGCGACCCGAGUUGCUCAGACUCGUAAAACGGGGCAAAAAAACAACUGCCAACAAGCAGUUCGCUCUCGCCGCCUAAUUCGUUAGGGGGUAGAGAGCAAUCGUGAGCCGCAAGGUCGCACGGGGCCAAUUCACCGCAGCCUGGCAACAGAAGCGGGGAAUGACAUUGGGAAAGACCGAUGACGUUGGGAAAGACCAAUGGCCGAACGGAAAGACGUUCCGUGGAUAAACAUUUCGGUGUUUGUCAGCCGACCCGCCGGUGUUGCUGCGUAGCAAUAAUGUUGGGAAUGGUCGUAUCACGGGCGUUCAACGGCUGAUGGACGGGGGUUCGAUUCCCCCCAGCUCCACUA